AGGAUGAUGAUGUUUAUUGAGUGGACGUCGUUGUGUACUAUAUCAGUUGGUUGUCCUCUUAAUCAAGGAGUGUGGUGAUACUAGUAUGGCAAACAGGUGAGAUGCAGGAGUACAUUAUCACGGAACAAGUGACUCACUUGUUGAGCAUUCUGCUAUCAAGAAUUGCUCAUUAAGCACAUGGGUAAAAGUAUCCUUCAUACCUG
rnacentral:lncRNA from 1 species